CUUGGGAUAAAUACAUAAUUUUAUGCAAACUCUGCUAUGGUCACUUUAACAUGGCACUGUGUCAAUCCAGCAUUCACCCAAAUAUUGAAAGGAGAUGGUAGUGUCCUACAGAAUCAUCUUCAAAUUCUCCACUAGGCUCAUGAAUUGUAAAGUAGUGGUUUUAAACACAACACCCUGCAGUACACAGUUUGGGUUGGCUCUUCUCUGGAUUUCAGCUUCCCCAAAUACAAACUAGCAAGUGGAGCCAUCCUAUGCCCCCUGAUAAUGGCAGAACCCUGAAGUUGGCAGCCUCUUCAGUUUGCAGGAGAGGAUGUGAGAACAGAGAAAACAAUGGCUUGCCCAAGGCAAAGUGGCCAUUGAGGGACAAAUCUAAGACUGGUGCCUAUACUCCUCAUCUAAGGCCUUAAAAAACAAGCAAACCAGAACUUCUAUUUUCUAUCACCGUGGCACAUCAGGAAUUUAUGCUCACAAAUAUGACUCACAGCAUCAUCCUCCUCCUAAAGCUUGUAAAAUGCUCCAGUGCAGCCUUCUGUAUUUGUAAAUGUUUUUUGGUGUGGAGAGAUAUGUGGCUGUAACUGAGUAAGGUAUGGGCAUGCUGUGGUACUUUGUUUAUGAGUGUGCAAUAAUAUAUGUCAAUAUCUGUAGUGAUCUUGAAUGUGUGUGGCAAAAGGAAGUCCAGUUAACUUUUGCUUUCUAAUCAUGAGUUCCUCUCAACAGGCCCAGGCAACACUGACAGACUAGAAAAAAAAUAUCAGGAGAUGAAGCUGACACAGUGAGAGCAGCCCAGGUGCUUCUUGGUGCUUGUUAUUACAGACACACACUUCACACAGGGGAGGAUUAUUUUAAUUCUGUGGCCUUCAGAUCUCAUAAAUACAAGUAAAAACAAGCAGAUGAGAAAAUGAAGGCUAGGAGGGCUCAUGUGACUUGUCCAAGGUCAGCUAGCCAGCAAGCAGUGGCACUGAGAUUUAACCCAGUCCCCUCAACUUCAAGAUCCACACUCAUCCCUUGAGACCACGGCAUCUUCACAUCUGCCACUAAGUACCUGGCAAAGUUGUUGGCUGAUUGGCUGAUUUAAAAAAGCAAAGCAGGAACCGCAGAAUCUCUCUCCCAGAUGGAAAUGGAAGUUGUUGCUCUUGACCAAAGGAGUCUGUGGAUCCUGUGUACUGUCCAGUAAGCUGUUCCUGAUAUGGAGAGCACCAUACUUUUGGCAACUUCUUUCAGGCUUGGCUACCAAAGGCUUUGCACAUCUCUCCUGGCGCUCUUAGAUGGAGGUCCGUCUUUGCUGGUGAUGAGAAGUGAAUCAACAGUUUGCUGGGUAGCCACUGUGGGCCAUUAUCUCAUGUUCUCUUCACAGUGACCCUAUGAGGAACAUCUUCCAUGAUCACACGUUAGAGACAGGGUGAGGCGGUGAUUAGUAGUGGAGUUGGGAUGGAGGCCCAGAUUGGGCAGCUCUCUCCUGCAUCCCACCCCAUUGUUGCUCUGCCUUCCCUCCAUUGCUUCCUGCCCCAGUCACCAUGUUGCCCUUUGCCUCUCCCCAUGAAGGGUGUGGCUGCAGGAGCACCAGGCGAGAGACAGGGCCGGUGUCCAACUGGGGAAGCCGGGAGUUGACAUUUCCAUGAGUAGUGAGGAGGCUGACAUUCUGCCAUGGGGGGAGCUAGUCCCAGCUUCCAGGGGCCCAGGUUCCCAAGGAAAUAGCUUGGCCUGUAUUUAAGACAGAAGCCUCUCAAACUGGGGUCAAAGUAAGGAACACUGCUCCUUUCCACUGACAUUUCCAGAUUUGGAGAUGCAGCGUGCAAAGGAGGAUGAUGGUAAGCUAGCGUUUGAAUGAUCAAAGGGCACACUUUGGUGAGAGCAAAGCAGUGUUGAAGGACUUUCUUCUUUCUCUUGACCUUUAUUUCCUCCUCCUGGGGUCUGUAUGUUCCCUUAACUUAGCCUGACACCUCCAUUCACCUCUCUUGCCCAAACUCCUCUCUGUACCUGUGGGCACCUGCCAAGUCUAGAGGCUACAGAAGUAACAUGCGGAGGAUUUGAAUGUUUUUCUUUUUCACCCCAUAAGACAUGAUUAUUUUCUAAGAGAAAAUUAUCCAUAGCUACCUCCUUUCUUCAUUUUAGGCCAACCAGUUCUCUCAGCUCUCUGCAGGGCAGUAAAAAUGCCCUUAUUGCUUAGAAACUGUUCAUAAUUACAUCAGUUUCUGGCCAUUAAGUCCCAUAAGUCUAAAAUGUUGAAUAUAAUAUAGCUGCUUUGGGAAGUCUUUUAGGCCUGAUCCAACUAACUAACUACAACAGCCAGUUCCAAAAUAAGUGAGGACACAGUUUUAAUUGGCAAAAAAUUAUGAUGUGGACUUUUUGUAGAUAUAAAAAUAAAUGGGAGGUUGGCCCAAAGUAAGUUCUGGUGAAAUACAGGAUCAGGACUACCGUUUUGCCCAGGAGGACCCAAACCAAGCACUUAGAAAAGCACGAGAGCAUAGAUUUCUAAGGCACUGGCAUGAGGAUGUCAACUAUGGAUGUGGCUGGAAUUAUUUCCUCACAAGAAAAAAUACUUGGGGUGGUAACCAAAGUGGGAUAGCUUCGGUCAUAAGAAGUGAGGAACAGUGUAUCUAUCACGCAAACCUGAUCCAAGCAAAUACUAACCAGUCCUUAGGAAUGCUAUAUGGGGUCAUAGUGAGCUGUGUAUUUGACAACAGAGUCACUGAUUUUGUGUUGAGAGUGUUUGUGUGAUAGGGAGGGCUCUGAGGUGGGAAACGGGAGGGAGAUAAGAGAAAGAGCUUAACAGGGCCUGUUUCCAGCCCCUUCUCUGAACCUCCCACUGGAUGGAGGGAAGCAAAGUAGAGCCAUGUCAAGUCAACUUGGCUAAAAAAGCCCACAGCUUCCUUCUUUCCCCAGUUCCUCACUCGACAAGGUAAGGAUACUAUCAGCCACUAAACCACUCUGCAGUGAUUCAGCCACUAUACAUAGGGACAAUCAGGAAAAUACUCAUAAUAUAAAGUAAAAAAACACACAAUAUAAAAACAUGCAUGGACCAUGACUGCAAGGAUAUGCAAUAAAUAUCAUACAUCCUGAAUUUGAGACCUCCAGUGUCGUAAGAAAGUGCCACCAAAUCCUCACACCCAAGGCCCUCAGUCUAGUCAAAGGUGGGCAGAAAAGCAAUCACAAUCACACAUGAGAUGCAUACACAUGAAAAGCUCUUUUGGCAACUGUAAAGGAUCCUACAAAUAUUAGCAUGAUUCUAUGGUCAAUAGGACAGUGUGUAUUGAGCACCUAUGUGUUGGACUCUGUUUAGAUUCUGGAGAAAUAGCAGGGGGUGCCGGGUGUCAAGUCAGAGCUUCCACCUUGAGAAACACAAUUAAAAAGUAAACAAAUACAAUAAUUUGAGAUGCUGAUAGGUGUCAUGAAGAAAGUAAAGGAGGGGAGAGAAGAACAAUGGUGUGAGGUCAGCCAGGACAGUCUCCCUGAGGAGGUGACACAUAAGCCAAGGGUAGAAUGAUGAGAAAGAACCAGCCAUGAGAACAUGUGAGGGACUUAUAUUGUAAAAAGGGGUGAUAGCAGCAACCAUGAAGGCCUGAAGUGGGAACAGGUGAGGCAGAGAUUUUUUAAAGGUUGCAGAAGCAGGGACCAGCUGGAAGCCAGAAGCCAGUUAGGAGGGACUUUGGGAAUGGUCCAGGUGAGAGGCAACAGGAUGAGGCACAACAUCCAGGAACUCACAUGCCAGCGCCAGAUCCCUAACCACGCUGACACAGUGCCUCCUCCCCUGCCUUCCAAUGACCCUUCAAUUGAGCAGAGGUAAGAUGCCGUGUGGCCCUUUGUCCUCAGUGGCAGAAGCAGUGCCUUGGUGGAGGUGUGAGCCAGCAGGUGGCUGUUGGGGUGGGCAUGCCACAUAAGCCACGCAUUUUAGACCCUCUCUUGUAGGGCUAAAUGCUGAAAUAGUCCCAUUCUGAGCAAACAGGAGAAGAGUCUGCCUCAUCAACCAUAUGGAAACAGAACCUGUGAGAUUCCUAUCAGAAAUAAAGUCACUCAAGUACUCUUCAAAGAAGGGGAAAAAAAGAGUUUCCAUUUGAAAAUGGGCAAUAUGAUUACAUAUUCUCUGAUUUGGAAGGAGAUGGAUUAAUCGACAAUUAUAAGCAAUCUCUUCAACAGAUUAUAUUAGAUGAGCAUUCUAUUUUUUGGUAACUUUUAAUACAUGGUGGAAUUUUUACGUGAAGUCUUCAGCCUCUCCUUGAAACUCAUGUUACAACUGGAGGAAAAAGUCAGUCAGUUAUGGCCAGCUGUAAUUUCUGCCCUUAAUAACAUGCUCUACUGAGCAAAAACACCUCUGCUGCAGUGAAUCCCCAGUGUGGAAGGGAGACUUGUGACAGGGCACAGGGCUGGGGCCUAAGACCUAAUCCCCACAGGCCCUCAGAGAAACCACCAUAAAGAACUCCAGAGGCAUCAAGUUGGGAUUUAUAAGGCAGGACAGAAGGACUCCACGACUUUGGGACACGAGGUGGCCAGGCCUGGAGAGUGGAGGCUGGGCCAGCACUGCAGAAUCCUCAGCCUGGACUGGGCACCGAGCCUCAGUCAGGAGGGCAGGUAGGGGACCAUCUCAGAUCCACGGCCACAGGGGGCCACGGCCAGCCAAAGUGUGAACCCAAGGUGGCCAGCUCUGAGAAUGAUCUGCAUGCUUCCUAGGACUGAGGGCAGCCACGUUUGUGAGACACACCGUCACCUCGGGCCCUUGCUGAGCAUGAGUCACAGCCAGGCGGAGUGCAGCUGGGCACCCACUGGAAACAGCUGGUAGGGCCACGCAAACUCAGUCAUUUGCUCUGUCCUCCAGACUUCACCUCAUACUUCUGUGGCUCUCUAAUGAAACAUUAGGGGCCGCCAAAAUUCCUUCAAAUUAAUAAAAUUGGGAGGAAAAUAAAAUGGAAAGGAAAAUUGAAGCACACUUGGUUUACAUUAUUAAAGCCGUCAGGCACCAAUUAAUCAAAAUCUAGGCCUGAUAUUGACUACUGGACAGCUGAAAAUUCCCAUGGUGGCUGUUAUUUUUGUUGAGGGACUUGAUCAAAUACCGACUCCAUUUGGAAACAUUUUAUAAUGACCGUUUUCAGAAAAUGAGCAGCCCCUUUGAGAGAUCUCACCCUUCCCUCCCUAAGGCAGGGCCACAGCUUUGAGGACGUUUUUUGCGAAGCCUUUGAGAGUCUGGCUCCAGGAGAAGGGAAGGGAAUCGUGAAAUCUGUGGGUUUUUACCUCCAAGAGACAGGUCCACUGUCAGCUGACCCAAAAGCAUCCAUUCUGCACAGCUUGGUGGUGACAAGUAGCUAUGUGUGUGGUAGGGGCUUGGAAAACUCCCAGGAGGCAUCUGCUGGUCCACACACCCCCUGCUCUGGGUGAAUCAGAGGACCACACAGGACCCAGCAGAAUGUGUAUGCACAGGAAAUAACUUUCUGGCUAAGUGUCAAAUCGGCCUUGAGAUAAAAUUAACUGAAGCAAGGUCUCCCAGGCCUCCAAGGGCAACAUCAAAGAGCCCGGAUAUUCCUCUCUAAAAGGCUUUGACAGGCUGAGUGGACCAACCUCCUCAGGCCUCUGCUCUUUAUACUUGUGGACAGGCCCAGCCAGAGCAGCGGCUGGUGCAGGUAGCAGGACAGGGUUGGGAUCCUGGACUCAAAGGAGUUGUGACCACCAUGUAGCAAUCACUCCUUCUGGGCAACCCUGGGCACUUGAACAGGACAGCAGAGCUAUGGUCCAACUGAAUCUCUAAUGGGUGAAGCUGAUUCUAGAAAAGCCUCAGGCUGGCUGCAGACUCUGCUUACACAUUUUUUUGCAGAGCAGAGAAGGAUGCAUAAAGAGAGGUCUCACAGAGUCAAGGUCCCAGAGCACUGAGACCACUGAGACCAAGAGAGACUCCCUCCCAGUCCAGGUGAGCUACCACGGGGGAAUUCUCACGCACAGGCUGUUUGGCUGCAAAUACGCUGGACUUUGUCAUUGUUUCUUUGCAUUUUUCUUGAUGGCUUAUAAUACAAGGUUAGGUCUCUUGGAAGCCUAAGAAGAUUAUCCAAAAAGGCUGUUUUCAGUUGGGUUAGAGUGUAAAUAGCAUACAAGUGCUUCAUGAACCCCAGUUCAAAUUCAAAGGUAUUCUUAGAAGGUUUUCAUUAAAUAAAGGCAGGAAAAUAAAUUAAGACCAAGAAAAUGAUUUCAACAGAGGGGUGAAGGGGGAGCUCCUAUUCUUCCUUCUUACUGAAGUGCUUCAUCCAAACAGCCUCCUUUACUUCCAUGGUCCCUUAAAACCACUUUGCUAGGAGUCGACUUAUGUGGAGCAAAGGCAAUACUAAUGGAGGGUGUGGCUCCUCUGUGGCCACUAAGUGGAAAAUAUAACCCUCUUGCCAGCUACCUCAUGUGGCAAGUGUGUGUGUGUGAGUAAAUCUGUGUCUCUAUUGGGGGGGGGGGGUUUAAGGCUUUUUUUUUUUUUGCUUUUAAGUUCCAGGAUACAUGUACAGUACAUGCAGGUUGGUUACAUAGGUAUACGUGUGCCACGGUGGUCUGAUGCAGCUAUUGACCCGUCUUCUAAGUUGCCUCCCCUUGCCCCGCAUCCCCCAACAGGCCCUGGUGUGUGAUGUUCCCCUCUCUGUGUCCAUGUAUUCUCAUUGUU
rnacentral:lncRNA from 1 species